AGAAAUUAAUUUAAGGGCGAAUGGUGGAUGCCUAGACUGUAAGAGGCGAAGAAGGACGUACUAGACUGCGAAAAGCUAUGGGGAGCUGUCAAGAAGCCGUGAUCCAUAGAUAUCCGAAUGGGGCAACCCGGCAUGGUGUGAAUCAUGUCACCCUUAGGGGAGCGAACUCAGGGAAGUGAAACAUCUCAGUACCUGAAGGAAAAGAAAUCAACCGAGAUUCCGGGAGUAGUGGCGAACGAAACCGGAUUAGCCCUAAAGUUUGUGGGGUGUUAGUAGAACAAUUUGGAAAGAUUGACCGUAGAGGGUGACAGUCCCGUAUACGAAAACUAACCACGAAUUAAACGAGUAGGUCGGGACACGAGAAAUCCUGACUGAAUAUGGGAGGACCACCUUCCAAGGCUAAAUACUACUUACAGAUCGAUAGUGAACCAGUACCGUGAGGGAAAGGUGAAAAGAACCGCGGCAAGCGGAGUGAAAUAGAACCUGAAACCAUUUGCCUACAAUCAUUCAGAGCCCUAUGUUUUAUACAGGGUGAUGGACUGCCUUUUGCAUAAUGAGCCUGCGAGUUGUGGUGACUAGCGAGGUUAAUCAAACGAGAAGCCGUAGCGAAAGCGAGUAUUAACGUGCGAACAGUUAGUUGCUGCAGACCCGAAACUAAGUGAUCUAUCCAUGAGCAGGUUGAAGCUGGUGUAAGAGCCAGUGGAGGACCGAACCCGCUGACGUUGAAAAGUCAUGGGAUGACUUGUGGAUAGGGGU
rnacentral:rRNA from 1 species